GCUUUGGUCCAGCCUGGCAGCCUGAGGUCCAGUCCUACUCUGCCUACCCCGCCGUUAAGAGAGUCCAGCCCUGCAGGAGUGCCCUAAGCACUAAAGAGAUUUCCCCAGCUUGCCAGCUUUCACCCCGGAGCUCAGCAGAUGGCCGUGACUGCCUAUGGUGGGGUCUCCGGCAGCUUGCUUCCCGCAAAGCUCCUUCCAGGGCUCAGGGCUUCCUUCGGGGUUUCCUGCUACGG
rnacentral:lncRNA from 1 species